GAUUCUGGCUCAGGACGAACGCUGGCGGCGCGCCUAACACAUGCAAGUCGAACGAGCGAGAGAGAGCUUGCUUUCUCGAGCGAGUGGCGAACGGGUGAGUAACGCGUGAGGAACCUGCCUCAAAGAGGGGGACAACAGUUGGAAACGACUGCUAAUACCGCAUAAGCCCACAACCCGGCAUCGGGUAGAGGGAAAAGGAGCAAUCCGCUUUGAGAUGGCCUCGCGUCCGAUUAGCUAGUUGGUG
rnacentral:rRNA from 1 species